ACAGACAGACGGGUUAAUACGGUACAUCACUGUAGACAGACAGACAGACUGACAGGUAGCUGUACAUCACUAUAGACAUACAGACAGGUUACGACAGACAGGUUAAUACGGUACAUCACUGUAGACAGACAGACAGACAGGUUAAUACUGUUCAUCCCUCUAGACAGAAAGGCCCAUGGCCCCUCCCCCUGCUCUAUGGCUCCCCCUGUCCUAUGGCCCCGCCCCCUGUCACAUGGCUCCGCCCCCUGGCCGUCCAGGUUAUGUAGGAACCUUUAGUUUGAUCUUAUUGACAUCCAAACAUCUCACUGUAGCCCACAGCGCUGGCUGUCCAGACCUUCAACUACAACACAACCUGCUGCCUCUUAAUCAUUACUGCUGACAUGAACAUUAAACUAUUAUUUAAAUAACUAUUAAAAUGUUUUCAUAAUUAUAAGCAUAUUGGUGGAUUUCUGUGUUCGAUUACGGCAUUUUAAAAUUGCCAUCAUUGGAAAAA